rnacentral:rRNA from 1 species
UACGGGGGGGGCAAGCGUUGUUCGGAAUUACUGGGCGUAAAGGGCUCGUAGGUGGCCAACUAAGUCAGACGUGAAAUCCCCGAGCUCAACUCGGGAACUGCGUCCGAUACUGGUGGGCUUGAAUCCGGGAGAGGGAUGCGGAAUUCCAGGUGUAGCGGUGAAAUGCGUAGAUAUCUGGAGGAACACCGGUGGCGAAGGCGGCAUCCUGGACCGGCAUUGACGCUGAGGCGCGAAAGCUAGGGGAGCAAACGGG